rnacentral:lncRNA from 1 species
GAGUCAGGUGAAUUUAAAGAUGUGAUUUUGGAUGACUCAAUUUAAAAGUUUAGGUGCCAGUGACCGGUGACUAAUCUGUUAUUAUUCCAAACUAGGGGAAAGAGAGUUAACGGGUACAUGUCAUUAGUAAGGUAAGACGUGUAUCCGAUGACUUAGAACCCGAGUUAGGGAUGUUAAAUGACUAAAUGAUCUGCCGGAGUGUAUUGGAUCACUAUGUCUCCAUUGGAUACCACUGAGUAGGUUCCUCUGACGAGUCAUCGGUGAUCCUGCCCUGUGUUUAAUUUUGGAGCUUGGGAGGUUUUAACCUUAGUAUAGCAGUGGGCGUUUUGUCAGUUGUUGCUUCUCGCAUGAAAUACGAUAUAAAGAGCUUCACAUGUUACAUUUCUAAACGGCUGUCAGCUGAUGGGAGAAUACUUUAAGAUAAAUAUUAAGAGUUUGAUUGAAUACCUUAAGAUAAAUAUACUAUUUAUUAUAUAGCUUUUUUUUUU